rnacentral:rRNA from 1 species
UACGUAGGGUGCAAGCGUUGUUCGGAAUUACUGGGCGUAAAGGGCUCGUAGGUGGCCAACUAAGUCAUACGUGAAAUCCCUCGGCUUAACCGGGGAACUGCGUCUGAUACUGGAUGGCUUGAGGUUGGGAGAGGGAUGCGGAAUUCCAGGUGUAGCGGUGAAAUGCGUAGAUAUCUGGAGGAACACCGGUGGCGAAGGCGGCAUCCUGGACCAAUUCUGACACUGAGGAGCGAAAGCCAGGGGAGCAAACGGGG